GGCGGUAAAUUUAACAGUAUAUUGCAUAUGUUUAAAAAACUUACAAACGAAAACCAAAGGAGAAAAACAUGAUAAGUUGUACUUUUCAAUUUUGACAAGAAAGCGAUUUAAAAAUUUGAUCCUAAUAUGGAAUUGUCAUAUUCCUUUCAUGCGGUCUUCAAAUAAUAUACAAUAAUCGUAUUAAAGGAUGAUAUAUAACAAGUAUACGAAUAGCUGCUAAAGUAAUAUAUAUAUAUUUCUUUAACGAAAUUGUUCGUAUAGGAUACUAUGUUUUACGGAUAAGAUAAAUAAUAAAAGUAUGUGUAAAUAUGUAUUUCUAACAUGUUGUAUAUGUUACAUUCUCUAUUAAUCUAUUAUUUUUUUGAAAUUAGUUUUAACUGAGGAAUAAAUAUUCAUAUAUUAUAAAGUUCUUUCCGGUCAUUAUCAGUUUUAAAUAUUGUACUACUUUAUUCAAAUACUAUAUCAAUAUUUCUUAGCAAUAUAAAUAAACGAUUGUUUUAUGAAGUGUUCGAUAAUAUAGGAGCAUUAAAUAUUUUUUGUUAAAGCAAGUUUCAUUUUAAAAUUAUUUGGAAUUAUAUACUUAUACACAUUUGUCAAUUGUAUAUUGAUAUACACGUGACUUGACUCACGUGAUUUCCGAUUUCUAGUUUCAGCUAUAGUUAACAAUUUCCUGGUUUGAAUGUGAAAAGUGCAGAAAGCGUGGGAUGUAUUUCCCAUUUGAAUAUUUCAGAUGGUUGUGUUAAAAAUGGUAUAUUAUCACGAAAAGUGGCGUUAUAGUACUAAAGAAAAGAUAUCGAAUACGAUAUCUAGAAAUAUCGUAGGUCCUUUUUAUAGAUAUAGAAGGCACAAAUAAUGAUGCCACUAUGUGGUAAAUACAUAGACAAGAAAUUAUUGCCAGAUUAGUUAGUCAAAUCAUACUGUUGUAAUGACAACUGUAUUUAAAAUCAUGGAACUUGCUGUACAGACAAAAUAUAGUAUAAAUUUGUCUUAAAAACAUUCAAACAUCGUAAUCCAUAUACAAACAUAGGAAUUAUAUUCACUGGAAUUGUUGAAAACAGAUAUCGAUAAAAUCAAUAGCAUCUCAAGUAAUAGUCAACUAAUUGACCAAAUAUAGAAUGCUAUACAUAUAAUAUACAGCAUAGAGCUUGCAUUUUAUGGAUCCUUGUGUUCCAUAUUCUGAAAUACUGAUUAUAUAAAAAAUUAAUGUUUCUUAUGUCCUCUGUGAUUUAUAGCAAUGGAUGUAGGAAUUAUAUUUAAUCCAACUAACAAAAUUGAUAAAGUCACAGACGAUGCGUAUUUGUCAUCAGUCAUCAGUACAAUCCCACUGAGGAUGGAAAGAAUGGCAAAUAGAGAAAAGGGAAAAGUAUGUACAUACAUACUUAUUACUAAUACACUUAUUCUUUCCUUAUACAAAUUAUAUGGUUGUUGUAUAUACUAUGUACAAUCAUAACUAAAGCUUAUUGUUAAUGUUAAAGAUGGCUCUUGUAUAUGCUAUGCCAGAUUGUAAAAGUAUUUACAAAUGCAACGGUAGUAUUGCCUUUUUAAAACAUCAAAAAAUUCAAACUUGGAAAUAUAUGGGAAAAAGCUAUUCCUGAUAUAAGAGAACUAAAGGCAAGGCCCUUAAUAUAUGAGAAACAUUUUAAAGAGGAAUUUAUAAAAAAAAAGAAUUGUUCAAAAAGGUUAUUGUAAUAAUUUUUUAUAUAAUUAGUAUUAUUUUGUACAUAUAUAUUAUGCUGUGUAGUAUUAUAUACAAAAAAUUGAAUAAAAUGUAGGUAUGUAUAUAGAAAAUUGUACAUUAUUUACUGUAUAGUUUGCGAUAGUUUAAAUAUUGUAUAGUUGGUGUUAAGGAUAAUGUAUCAGCGAUCUUGCGUAUGAUCCAAUAGUUCUGUAUUUAUUGGAAAAAUGAUAUAUUUCAUAAACUAUAUAACAAAUAACGUGGAAAAACUUCUUUAUUAACAUUCUACCUUCAAAAAGCAAUCCCAUAUUUUUACUUUUAUAAAAUUACUUUUAUCUUGUUCUUUCUUAUAAAAAAAAGAGUGGUUUCCGUACUGUUCCUCUUUUACCUAAUAAUUAUAUUUCAUUUCUGUCGAAAUGUCUCCAAUAAAUAAUGAUUUUUUCUUGGUUA